GCUCAGGCUGGUAGGCUUACUGAAGGCUGAGUGACUGAAAAACUUAUCAUUUGACUGACUGAAUAAUGGGCCAGCUGACUGGCUGACUGGUUGACUGACUGUCUGUCAUUGACUUACUGACAUAUUCACAGAUUCAUUAGCAUGUCUGUACCACAAAAAAGUGCUCAAUGCAGGCAGAUAAUUCACCAAGAAACAAGAACAUGUUUUAAUUGCCAUCUUUAUUGCUUGCUUGCCCUCGAUGCCUUAGGGUUGUGCAUGCACAGGCAAGCCAGUUACAAUAACUGCACUAAUUCAGUGACUUACUGAUCAUGUGAUUGAUUGUUGGAAUGAGUCAGUUGCCUAUUGACAGGCUGUUCAAUUAAAUAACUGGGUGACAUACCAAUAGAAUGACUUAUCUUGCUGUUUAGUGCAAAACACUAGCAAUUUACAUUAGGGGUUGCAGGUGGGGACAGGUGAAGAACUCUUGUGUAAUUGAAGAUAAGAAUGACCCAUUUCCCACAGUACUAAGAAAGAAAAGGAACUUCCUUUUGAACAAUUUUUUUCAUGGGUUAAACUUUGAUCUCGAGACAUAUCUUUAGUUAACCCUUUAACCCCCAGAAGUGAUUAACAUGUAACUUCCCCUUACAGUAUCCAUAUAUUAUCCGGCAAAAAAGGUCAUGAGAAUAUUCCAACAUAAAGUAGAACUUAUCUUGCUCUAACACCAAAUUCUUGAAACUAAUUUACAAAGAAAUAUGUAGUAUCCAGAGGGGAGAAUUCAUAAUCAGAACUUUGGAGUUCAAGGGUAAAUUAAACUCUUGGUUAUCUCCCUUAACUUGAAGGUACAUGCAUGAAUAACGAAUUUUUACUGAGACGCAGUCUUGGUUUCCAGUUGGCUCUCACAUCUAUCACUUGCUACACAAAUUGACCACAGGCAAAAUGAACUGAUUGAGUCACUGAGUGCUUCAAUCAUGAACUUCCAAGUUGUCAGUGAAACUCAUUGAGCAUAAGUACAAGAAAGAGGUGCUGCAGACUUUGUUCUUACCUUAGACAAGGCCUUUCCAGAAAACUCCUUAGAAAGAGAUGCCAAGUCGAAAGAGGAGGAUGAAAAAAGGGAUUCAAAGAGGAUUAGAUAAAUGAAAUGGGGAACGACAGAAAGAUCAAGGAGAAUUUGGCUAAUUGUUGCUUGAAUUUAAUUAUUGAAGAAAGAAACAAGAGAAAGUUUUCAAGUCUCUAUUUUUAUUAAUGUCAAUAACAAGAAUUGUCAAGUAAAGUAAGAAAUGUACGUCUUACUCGAGCAGCGCAAAUAGAUGUUUACAUUUUUUUCAAGUAGUACUUUACUAGAUAAAAAGCACUAAAACUUUUGUUGAAAUAAAUGUGUAAAUCAACAAUAUUAUACUGCGACUAUCGUAGAAAAUUUGCUAUGUCUUGAUUAGUUUAAUAAAUGUUUUGUAGUAGAAGUCCAAGUGAAAAGUCCUUAAAAAGUAGUAGCAGUAGUAGUUUAAACAGGAACUCGUUCACAAAUUUGUCAGUUUAGGUGUAGUGCAAGUGAAAACAUUUUGUUGAAUCUGUCAAAGAGUAGAAAUAAAAAUUCAGUUCGAAACUCUUUCAAAGAUCAGUCUAGUUCUAAUAAUAGCACAAGUGAAGAGUUGUUUUAAAAUCUGUCAAAGUCCAGCAGUAGAAGUGCAAUCAAGUUUAAGUGCAAUUGUAAAAUCCACUCAAAUUCUUUCAAAGUCCAGUAGUGGUAGUGCAAUUGAAGAGUAGUUAAAAAAUCAGUC